rnacentral:rRNA from 1 species
GACGAUCGCUGGCGGCGUGCCUAAUACAUGCAAGUAGAACGCGGUUGCGAACGGGUGAGUAACGCGUAGGUAAUUGCCUCAUAGCGGGGGAUAACUAUUUGAAAAGAUAGCUAAUACCGCAUACUGUGCGAUGGACCUGCGUUGUAUUAGAUAGUUGGUUAGGUCAAGGCUCACCAAGGAGAAGAUACAUAGCCGAACUGAGAGAGUGAACGGCAAAAGGUGGACGGAGAAACGGCCCAGACGCCUACGGGAGGAAGCAGUAGGGAAACUGCGGCAAUGGAAGGAAGGCGGACAGAGCAACGCCGAGGUAGUGAAGAAGGUUGUCGAAUGGAAAAGCUCUGUUGUUAGAGAAGCGGUAACUAACCAGAAAGGGACGGCUAACUACGUGCCAGAAGCCGCGGUAAUAC